CCUACGGGGGGCAGCAGUGAGGAAUAUUGGUCAAUGGACGAGAGUCUGAACCAGCCAAGUAGCGUGAAGGAUGACUGCCCUAUGGGUUGUAAACUUCUUUUAUAUGGGAAUAAAGUUUUCCACGUGUGGAAUUUUGUAUGUACAAUAUGAAUAAGGAUCGGCUAACUCCGUGCUAGCAGCCGCGGUAAUACGGAGGAUCCGAGCGUUAUCCGGAUUUAUUGGGUUUAAAGGGAGCGUAGGGGGAUUGUUAAGUCAGUUGUGAAAGUUUGCGGCUCAACCGUAAAAUUGCAGUUGAAACUGGCAGU
rnacentral:rRNA from 1 species